rnacentral:rRNA from 1 species
CCUACGGGCGGCAGCAGUGGGGAAUAUUGCACAAUGGGGGAAACCCUGAUGCAGCAACGCCGCGUGAGUGAAGAAGUAUUUCGGUAUGUAAAGCUCUAUCAGCAGGGAAGAAGAUGACGGUACCUGACUAAGAAGCCCAGGCUAACUACGUGCCAGCAGCCGCGGUAAUACGUAGGGGGCAAGCGUUAUCCGGAUUUACUGGGUGUAAAGGGAGCGUAGACGGUGAGACAAGUCUGAAGUGAAAGAACGGGGCUCAACCCCGAGACUGCUUUGGAAACUGCCUGACUGGAGUGCAGGAGAGGCAAGCGGAAUUCCUAGUGUAGCGGUGAAAUGCGUAGAUAUUAGGAAGAACACCAGUGGCGAAGGCGGCUUGCUGGACAGUAACUGACGUUGAGGCUCGAAAGCGUGGGGAGCAAACAGGAUUAGAUACCCCUGUAGUC